UAAUACGGAGGGGGCCAGCGUUGUUCGGAAUUAUUGGGCGUAAAGGGCGCGUAGGCGGCUUGGUAAGUCAGUUGUGAAAUCCCUCGGCUCAACCGAGGAAUGGCGUCUGAGACUGCCAGGCUUGAGUCCCGGAGAGGGUAGCGGAAUUCCCAGUGUAGCGGUGAAAUGCGUAGAUAUUGGGAGGAACACCAGUGGCGAAGGCGGCUACCUGGACGGGCACUGACGCUGAGGCGCGAAAGCGUGGGGAGCAAACAGGAUUAGAUACCCUGGUAGUCCACGCUGUAAACGAUGGGCACUUGGUGUUGCGGGUAUCGACCCCUGCAGUGCCGAAGCUAACGCAUUAAGUGCCCCGCCUGGGGAGUACGGUCGCAAGGCUG
rnacentral:rRNA from 1 species